GACGAACGCUGGCGGCGUGCCUAAUACAUGCAAGUCGAACGCGGAAGGCGGAGCUUGCUUCUCUGGAUGAGUUGCGAACGGGUGAGUAACGCGUAGGUAACCUGCCUGGUAGCGGGGGAGAACUAUUGGAAACGAUAGCUAAUACCGCAUAAUAUUUACUAUUGCAUGAUAGUCAGUUGAAAGGUUCAACUGCACCACUACCAGAUGGACCUGCGUUGUAUUAGCUAGUUGGGGGGGUAACGGCUCAUCAAGGCGACGAUACAUAGCCGACCUGAGAGGGUGAUCGGCCACACUGGGCCGGAGACACGGCCCAGCAUCCUACGGGAGGCAGCAGUAGGGAAUCUUCGGCAAUGGAAGGAAGUCUGACCGAGCAACGACGCGGGAGUGACGAAGGGUUUCGGAUCGUAAAGCUCUGUUGUAAGAGAAGAACGAGUGUGAGAGUGGAAAGCUCACACUGUGACGGUAUCUUAACAGAAAGGGACGGCUAACUACGUG
rnacentral:rRNA from 1 species